CAGGAAGUCCCUGAGGCUGACCAGAUUAACAGCCCUUCCUUGCCAGAGCAAACAAAACACUCAGAGAAUCCCACUCAGAAGGAAUCUGAGCUGCAAAAGUAGACACAGAGACCAGCCCAGUACUAGCCAAGUCCAUGUGGUGUCAUGGUACUUCAUUAGAAGAAGCAGCAGACGAAGAACAGACACUGAGCAUAAAGAGAUUCAGAACGGGGAUACCGGAAGCAGAUGGGGAGGAAAUGAUAGCGAUAUGUUUGAAGAAAAAAAUCAUGAGCUGUAUGUUAGUAAUAUCUAAUUCCAACAUGAGAGGGAAAAAUAUUCAAGAUCAAAAGAAAAAAGUCAAAGUCACUUUGGAAAGAUGUUCCAAGGCAGAGGAAAAAGAAAAGAGAAGAGAGAAGAAGAAAUGAGUAGAGGAGUCACCCUGGCCUAAUGUGACAUGCAGAAGUCUUACAUCUCUUCUGAGUUUUCAAGUCCAAAUGUCCUUGUGAGAGUCUAAGCUGCUCCAGUAUGCAAGAAAUCAGCAAGUUCAAUGACCUUCAAUUUCAUGAUCCAUAAAAUAGAUUCCUAGAGAGAAAAAGCUUCCAGCUCCAAAAUAUCCAAGCAUCUGCAAGGAAAUGCUGUGAAAAGGACACAAAAGACUUUCAGGGAUCCCAAUGUGAAGCAUAUUUCUGCCCAAAAAUAAAAAAGACAAGUGGAAGAAGAACCUGACCCAAAAUGCUUCUAGGCUGAAGUAAAGGAUGAGGGGAGAGGCCUGACAUGGUGAAAGACCAGCAAUCAAUUCAAUCUUCAAGCAUAAUAAAAGGUUUGGUGGAAGGGGCAAGAGCUAGCCAUGGGGAAAGAAGGACCUUGGCAACUUGAGGUAAAAUCUCUUUCAUUUGUUAUCACGCCAUCUGGUGUUGCACAAGGCUGCAUUUCAAAGUCUCAUUAGCAGGCCUCAUUGUAUCUAGACAGUGUGGCUACUGUUCAGCACAUGAUGGACAGGUCUCCAUGAGCUUCACAGCCAGCCUCCGUGGAGGGAUGCUUCUUUCCAGCUGAGUGUAGCAUCCUGCUUCUAGAUUCUGUUUUCUUUAGCAGAUUUAAAAUCUCACCAGGGAUAUCACCAGAAUGUUGUUUCCAAAGACACAAAGACAACCCUUUUAAAUAUAACUUCUAAAGCUUCUCCCCAGUGACUUUGUAAAGUUAUCAAAUGGUACGUUUUGAUAUUUUUCAUAUUGCUAAGCAGUUGCCUAUCAGUCAGUUUUACAACUUUAUAAAUACUGUACCACAGUAUUAUCAUUACCCAACCUGUAAAGCUACAAAUAAUCUCCCUUCAAAGAGCAAAGAUGGUACAGGAAGUAGUCGUUAGCCAGGCAUUACAGGGACUGUGGAGGUUUACAGCUUACCCGGCAGACAGGCUCUACUGUGCUCUUCUAUGCAGACCCCCAGAGGGAAAGAGUCCUGCUCAAAGUCUUCCCUGAAGACUCUUCCCUCCCUUCUUCCUUCUUCACUUAUUUUAUGCUCUUAAGAGAGCAGAUGCUAGCCUCCUGAGAUUUAGCACACUCUCAGGAGGAUAUCACUGCAGAACUAGACUCUUCUGUUAUUUUUCCACUUUGCUGAAUUUUCUGUACAUAACUACAAACAGCAAAAGGAUUUCUUGAAUUCUAGCAAGUGCACUGGCUUUGAAAUGAAAGACCUCGAAACCCUAGUCUCAAGUCAGAUAAUUCAUUUUUUGUUGAGUAUUAUGGCCUGUUAUUAUUUAUUUAUCUUCUUCCCCUGGACCUUUCUUCUUAUUAAUUUUUAUCCUUAGAACAUUAACCAAAAUCUGAGGCCUAAAAUUGACUUUGGAAAGAUAUAUUGGAUAGGAAAAAACCAACCAAAAUGUGGUUGGAAUUCUAUGAGGUUUGUACAGAAGACAUAAAGCAAAUGAAUUUAAUGUGGUCUUUAAAAUGUGUCAAACAUAAGUAAAAAAAUAUAUUACACACUGCAAAUGAGCAUUUAUUGUGUGCCCAUAUAAUCAAGAACAUAAUUUUAUUGAGCAAUCACAACAAACCUGUGAGUAUCGUGUUAUUAUUCCCAAAUUAUAUGAGCAAAGGGACACUGAAAUAAUUUCUCCAAAGUCAUUCAAAUGGAAAAUAUCUCCGCCGGGAUCCAAACCAUGGGCUUAUUGACUCCAAAGCCUGUAUUCAAUCACUGUACUAACUUGUCUCCUAAGCCAGAUAAAUACCAAUAUUCAAAAGCCACAGUUACAGAUAGGCAUUCCCUUCAUUAUUUGUGGCUUUAUAUAUGAUUUAACUCUCAAACUACCCUAAGAAGUGAGACAUGACAAGUGUCCAUUUAAGUGCUCGGCUUUCAAUGCAUUUGCUAGUUUAUAAAGCACAUGCUUCUCUAUCUUUCAUUUCCCGACAAAGAAACAAUCUCAAACCUGAUGGUGCAUUACUUGGAAAAAUUAUAGACUCUCUUUGAAGAUAUAUCCGAGAAGAGAAAUCAAAAAGAUAUAAACUGUGAAAAACGAUAAAUUUAUGAGUACCAAAAAUACAUAAAGUAUUUGUAUUAGU
rnacentral:sRNA from 1 species